CAGUCGCCGCGGUAAUACGUAGGUGGCGAGCGUUGUCCGGAAUCAUUGGGCGUAAAGGGAGCGCAGGCGGGCAUGUAAGUCUUUCUUAAAAGUGCGGGGCUCAACCCCGUGAUGGGAAAGAAACUACAUGUCUUGAGUACAGGAGAGGAAAGCGAAAUUCCCAGUGUAGCGGUGAAAUGCGUAGAUAUUGGGAGGAAUACCAGUGGCGAAGGCGACUUUCUGGACUGCGACCGACACUGAGGCACGAAAGCGUGGGGAGCAAACAGGAUUAGAUACCCCAGUAGUCCCUGUCUCUUAUACA
rnacentral:rRNA from 1 species